rnacentral:rRNA from 1 species
CAGCCGCCACGGUAAUACGAAGGGGGCUAGCGUUGUUCGGAAUUACUGGGCGUAAAGCGCACGUAGGCGGAUAUUUAAGUCAGGGGUGAAAUCCCAGAGCUCAACUCUGGAACUGCCUUUGAUACUGGGUAUCUUGAGUAUGGAAGAGGUGAGCGGAAUUCCGAGUGUAGAGGUGAAAUUCGUAGAUAUUCGGAGGAACACCAGUGGCGAAGGCGGCUCACUGGUCCAUUACUGACGCUGAGGUGCGAAAGCGUGGGGAGCAAACAGGAUUAGAUACCCGGGUAGUCCCUGUCUCUUAUAC